CGGGAUCGUCAGGGAGCCCCUAUAGACGUAAAGACUUGACUUCACUGAACCGGCACUACUAUUUUAUUUGUCGGCUCCUACCACUCGUCCCUCGUCUGCUCGUCGAGUGCGUCCCUGGCCCUUGCUCGUCUCUAGUCGCCGAUCGAGUUUUCUUUCUUUCAGAACCUCGCACGUAUAUGGGUCAGUCUCCUAUCCUUGCCGCUGUUGACCUCUCUCCUGUCCAGCCACAGAGCAGUUCGCAGCAGGAUCCUUCUCAGGACGGUAGUCCUGCCUCAGUCUCCUUUCUUUCAGAACGCCUUUGGCGCCUUUCAUUCGGUACGCACUUCGCCAUGAAAGAUCUUGGUGAUCUUCAUUUCUUCUUGGGAAUCGAAGCCAAACGUACAGUACAUCGAC
rnacentral:lncRNA from 1 species